UGCAUUCACUACUGUAAGUUGCUCUGGAUAAGAGUGUCUGCUAAAUGACUGAAA
rfam:Salmo salar isolate Sally breed double haploid chromosome ssa07, whole genome shotgun sequence.